rnacentral:rRNA from 1 species
AUUGAACGCUGGCGGCAGGCUUAACACAUGCAAGUCGAGCGGGGGAGGUUGCUUCGGUAACUGACCUAGCGGCGGACGGGUGAGUAAUGCUUAGGAAUCUGCCUAUUAGUGGGGGACAACAUUUCGAAAGGAAUGCUAAUACCGCAUACGUCCUACGGGAGAAAGCAGGGGAUCUUCGGACCUUGCGCUAAUAGAUGAGCCUAGGUCGGAUUAGCUAGUUGGUGGGGUAAAGGCCUACCAAGGCGACGAUCUGUAGCGGGUCUGAGAGGAUGAUCCGCCACACUGGGACUGAGACACGGCCCAGACUCCUACGGGAGGCAGCAGUGGGGAAUAUUGGGCAAUGGGCGGAAGCCUGAUCCAGCCAUGCCGCGUGUGUGACGAAGGCCUUAUGGUUGUAAAGCACUUUAAGCGAGGAGGAGGCUACUUUAGUUAAUACCUAGAGAUAGUGGACGUUACUCGCAGAAUAAGCACCGGCUAACUCUGUGCCAGCCGCCGCAGUAAGAC